rnacentral:rRNA from 1 species
AACGAACGCUGGCGGCAGGCCUAAAACAUGCAAGUCGAACGCCCCGCAAGGGGAGUGGCGCACGGGUGAGUAACGCGUGGGAACGUGCCCUUCAGUACGGGACAACGUCGGGAAACUGACGCUCAUACCGUAUAAUGACUCCGGUCCAAAGAUUUAUCGCUGAAGGAGCGGCCCGCGUCUGAUUAGCUAGUUGGUGAGGUAAUGGCUCACCAAGGCUACGAUCAGUAGCAGGUCUGAGAGGAUGAUCUGCCACACUGGGACUGAGACACGGCCCAGACUCCUACGGGAGGCAGCAGUUAGGAAUAUUGGACAAUGGGGGAAACCCUGAUCCAGCCAUGCCGCGUGUGUGAUGAAGGCCCUAGGGUUGUAAAGCACUUUCGUUGGGGAUGAUAAUGACCGUACCCAAAGAAGAAGCACCGGCUAACUUCGUGCCAGCCGCCGCAGUAA